rnacentral:rRNA from 1 species
GAUGAACGCUGGCGGCGUGCCUAAUACAUGCAAGUCGAGCGAAUGGAUUAAGAGCUUGCUCUUAUGAAGUUAGCGGCGGACGGGUGAGUAACACGUGGGUAACCUGCCCAUAAGACUGGGAUAACUCCGGGAAACCGGGGCUAAUACCGGAUAACAUUUUGAACCGCAUGGUUCGAAAUUGAAAGGCGGCUUCGGCUGUCACUUAUGGAUGGACCCGCGUCGCAUUAGCUAGUUGGUGAGGUAACGGCUCACAAAGGCAACGAUGCGUAGCCGACCUGAGAGGGUGAUCGGCCACACUGGGACUGAGUCACGGCCCAGACUCAUACGGGAGGCAGCAGUAGGGAAUCUUCCGCAAUGGACGAAAGUCUUACGGAGCAACGCCGCGUGAGUGAUGAAGGCUUUCGGGUCGUAACACUCUGUUGUUAGGGAAGAACAAGUGCUAGUUGAAUAAGCUGGCACCUUGACGGUACCUAACCAGAAAGCCACGGCUAACUACGUGCCAGCCGCCGCAGUAA